rnacentral:miRNA from 1 species
UAGGAUAUUUUCAACUCAUGAU